GGAUUAGAUACCCUGGUAGUCCACGCCGUAAACGAUGUGCACUAGAUAUUGGUGGUUUGACCCCAUCAGUGUCGUAGCUAACGCAUUAAGUGCACCGCCUGGGGAGUACGGUCGCAAGACUAAAACUCAAAGGAAUUGACGGGGGCCCGCACAAGCGGUGGAUUAUGUGGUUUAAUUCGAAGCAACGCGCAGAACCUUACCUAGGCUUGAAAUCCUGAGAAUCUAAUGGAAACAUAAGAGUGCUCUUCGGAGAAUUCAGUGACAGGCGCUGCAUGGCUGUCGUCAGCUCGUGCCG
rnacentral:rRNA from 1 species